UCCCUAUCUGCCGUGGACGUUGGAAAUUUGAGAGGGGCUGCUCCUAGUACGAGAGGACCGGAGUGGACGAACCCCUGGUGUUCGGGUUGUCACGCCAGUGGCAUUGCCCGGUAGCUAUGUUCGGAAAGGAUAACCGCUGAAAGCAUCUAAGCGGGAAACCUGCCUCAAGAUGAGAUUUCCCGGGCCUUCGGGCCCCUAAAGGACCGUAGAAGACUACUACGUUGAUAGGUUGGGUGUGUAAGCGCUGUGAGGCGUUGAGCUAACCAAUACUAAUUGUCCGUGAGGCUUGAUCAU
rnacentral:rRNA from 1 species